AUGGGUAGGUCAACGCCGCAGAUUGGGGAGGAGCGCCGUCGCCGCCUGGACCAAGCUCCCUGCUCCACCGACCAAGGACGCUCGAUUCCGGCCACCUGCAGCACAUCAAGCCAUCCGCUAACAGAGUUCGUUCUACGCGUCAGGAAGGAAGUGGAGAGAGGGAAGUUGCCUCCAGAUGUUGCUGAUAACUUCGAAAACCUGUACUACAAUUACAAGAAUGAGGUCCUACAAAAUGGGGAUCCAAAUGCAUAUCAGAUCAUGCUUUCCAACAUGAUGGAUUUAUUUGACCGCAUUCUGCUGGAUGCAGAGAGUCCAUUUACGUUUCAGCCUUAUCACAAGGCCAUCAGAGAACCAUUUGACUAUUACACCUUCGGUCAGAAUUACAUUAGGCCACUGGUAGAUUUUAGGUACAAAUCUGGGUGUGGAUUGCUGCCUUGCCUUUCCAGCAGGCAAAGGUUCAGUUGGCUACAGGUUUCUUGUUGUAUCUAUCACUGCAGUUACACAAUAUCUUGUCUAUCCAAUAAUUGGAAGCCUUGCCUACAAUUUUCCAUCUGA
rnacentral:rRNA from 1 species